AUGACCGACCUUCAACGUUGAAAUUUGGUUGAAAUUAGGUCAGGUGUUUGUUCAACGUUGAAACAACGUUGAAACAACGGUGAAUGGUAAACGGUUGAAAAAGGUUAAUAAAAUGCUUAAAAAUCAACGUUGAAAUUUGGUUGAAAUAAUGUCAGUUGUUUGUUCAACGUUGAUUCAACGUUGAAACAACGUUGAAACAACAGUGAAGUAAAUGGUUGCAGAGAGACAAUAAAAUAAUGUUUUAUAAUAUGUGAAUCAUUCAGAAAAAAAAUUUAAAAACUCAUUUUAUAAAAUUGAUGAAAUUAUACAAAAAUGUAACAAAUAAUUGAAUAUACAGGUAGCGAGGUAAUCUCGCGAGAUUACACGAGACUGGACUGUUUUAACGGCUGUCUGGGAGAUCUUGCGUAUCACACGAGAAAAUGCUUCAGAGAAAGAAGAGAGUCCUUCAAAUUAGAAUAGUGAUGAUGAUCUUGUCAAUGCUGAGAUUUUCAUGCAUCAACAGCCAUUACAUCUGGAUCAGAUUGAACAAGAAACAGACAGCAAGGGUUGUCAGAUCAGAAACAGAAUGACACACAAACACAAGAAACUUCACAGGCAUAUCAACAUGCAAUUUGAAGACGUGUGAUAAAAUACAGAGAGGUGAAGUCGUGUGUCUUUCCAGAUGCCCAAAUCAUUCCCCCUUAAAAGAUGAGCCUGAAGAGGAGAUUUGGGAAGAUGCUGUUUCAUAAGUCGCUUUGCCUGAUCACCUGUGGUCGGGAUGUCUGCUAACAAGAUGCCUUGCUGGUCUGGGCGAGUUUAAAGGCUUACACAGACAGUCCAGAGGUUCUGAAGUCCAUCUUGGAUUUCAUUGAUGCUGUCAUCGUAUUAAGUACAGCAUGAGCCAGAAUGGAUGGGUGGUGGUGGCCAUAAGAAGACUGUCAACUAAACCAACAACAAAAUUCAUAUUUGCAGUUUUUCUUGAAUAAAGUUUUUCUAUUCGGAUGAAUAAAAUGACUUUUAAACAUGAUUUUGUUUCAUAUUUUAUGAUUUUAUUCUAUAUUUAGAAAAUUCCACUUCUGCACUACU